AUUGAACGCUGGCGGCAUGCCUUACACAUGCAAGUCGAACGGUAACAGGUCUUCGGAUGCUGACGAGUGGCGAACGGGUGAGUAAUACAUCGGAACGUGCCUAGUAGUGGGGGAUAACUACUCGAAAGAGUGGCUAAUACCGCAUGAGAUCUAUGGAUGAAAGCAGGGGAUCGCAAGACCUUGUGCUACUAGAGCGGCCGAUGGCAGAUUAGGUAGUUGGUAGGAUAAAAGCUUACCAAGCCGACGAUCUGUAGCUGGUCUGAGAGGACGAUCAGCCACACUGGGACUGAGACACGGCCCAGACUCCUAUGGGAGGCAGCAGUGGGGAAUUUUGGACAAUGGGCGCAAGCCUGAUCCAGCAAUGCCGCGUGCAGGAUGAAGGCCUUCGGGUUGUAAACUGCUUUUGUACGGAACGAAAAGCCCUGGGUUAAUACCCUGGGGUCAUGACGGUACCGUAAGAAUAAGCACCGGCUAACUACGUGCCAGCCGCCGCCGUAACAC
rnacentral:rRNA from 1 species